rnacentral:tRNA from 1 species
GUUGGAUUAAAAUUUAUAUUUGGUGUAGAAGCUAGAUAAUUAAGUCUGUUCGACU